UUUUUAUUGUGCUCAUUUUAAUUUCCGACAAGAAAAAAUAAAUAAAAAAAAGACCCCAACACUGAUCCUUAGAUUACAUGUCUUUUUCACCUCAGUAUCUCCCUCUUUCUCUCUCCAUCCCUCCACCCCUCCACCCUCACACUUCUUCACUCUGUUCACACUUCUCCCGCUCCCCUCACUCUCUCAAUAAAUUCCCAUUCAAUAAAACAGCAGGAAAAAAAACGUCCCUGCUUUUACUCCUCGCAGCAACUCUACUUUCCACUCUCUGGUACCUCUACUUUGUAUUAAUAUAUAUAUAUAUAUAUAAAUGUAUACUUAUUAGUUUUUUUUUUUUUCCCUCCCUGCUACAACACAACUCCCCAUCACAACCUCAAAGACCAGCAGUGUGGACGAAGGGUCAGUGUUGACCGAUUCCCUUUUCUCUUUAUUACUGUCGGGUUUCUAGACUGUAGCACUGCUACUCAGAUACAUGGUAAAUACAGGCCACUGUUCCAUAAAUGAAAAGGAUAUAAUAAACCACAAGAACAUAACCCCAAAAACAAAAUGAGUAGUUUAAUACAUCGCUACAUCGACAUUACUGUUAUUCAAAGAAAGCUUGAGUGAUGCUUUAGGAUCAAGCAGUUGAAAAGAAAUGUAAACAAAACGCAGACAGGAAAGUAGGAGUAAAGAAAUCAGGAGAAUUUACCUUGAUUUCAAAGCAAUGCUCAAGUUGGAAAAGAUUAAAACAAAAUCAAAUGUGUUUUUUUUAUUCUUUUCUUUUAAGGCUGUUGUUUGAGUUAAAGCCACAAUCCAGGACAUAAUUGAAAAAACCAAGCCUAGCUUCUAAAUAAAGAGUUAGCCUAUAGAUCCAGGUUACUUCUAAAUGAAGGUUUAGCCUUUAGACCGAAGUUGCUUCUAGAUUAAGUUUUAGCCUUAAGACCAAUGUUGCUUCUAAAGGAAGGUUUAGCUUUGGGACCCAGGUUGGAAGCACAACCUCUGCUCUCAAAUGUAGGAUCCACACACAUUUCACACACACGCACACGCACAUGCACACGCACACGCACACACAUCCACACACCCACACACCCACACACCCACACAAAUACGCACACGCAUACACACAAACAUGCACAGGUUUGUGUGUGUGUGUGUGAAAUACAAAUGUUAAUGGUUUUCACACACUUUAACAAGCUUUUUAGCGGUGCUAGAUGCAGCUGUGCUGGUUUUACUAACCCGUGAUUAUGGCUUUAACUGGCUUCAAUGAGUCUUGAGCAUUCGGAACUCAGUAGCAGAUUAUUACAAAAUGUUUUAUACAGUGUUUGAAUUCACCAAUAUAACCCUUUUGCUGGUACACCAGCUCAUAUAGACGUUUUUAUAUUUUAUUUAUAUAUCUACUCCUUAUAACAUUAGCUCUUGGGUCAACCCUGCGAAGGAAACGCCAUUUCAUCUAUUGACACUUGCAAUGUGUAAUACUUUGUAAGAUUGAAAAAAGUUAUCGAGUUGAAAUGUACUAGAACACAUCCCCCUUUGAACUCUGCUAUAAUUCGAUUUUUAGCAGUUUUUCUUUUUUACAAAAUGAACAGCAUGUAUAUAUAUUUUUUGUAUUGGUUCAAUUGAAAUGUUUGAGUCUCCCGUCCCUGUAAGCCUCUCUUUGAAGAGCAUUGCCGAUAGGGAUAAGAUUGUGGUGUUAAUCAUGUCUCUCUAGCUCCUGUUAGGGUCCUUCACAGUUCAAACCUGCUGGAUACUGCAGGAUCCACAUUAUUUGCUUGUGUUCAAUUGGAAUUCACCUGCAGCUGUUUUACUGCAACCAUGUCUAGUCCGACCAUAUUCACUUUCUGCGUGAUCUGAAUAAGUUAAUAAUAGAGUGGAAAUCAAAGCUACUUAUACUGAGACAGGAGACCAGGUGUCCGGGGCCAGAAUUUUGGAGAUUUUUAAGUUGUCCGUGAAGCAGUAGUGUUCCUCUUACCAGAUAACCAAAUAGCAAGUAAUCCUCUGAACGUAUCAAGACACUGAGUUAAAUACAGCUUUUACAUCAGAAAUAAAGUUCCAGCUGAUAACGUUUUAUUACACAAAGAAUACAUUCAUUUAGCCUACGUGUGUGUAUGUCUGUGUGUGUGUGUGUGUGUGUGUGUGUGUGUGUGUGUGUGUGUGUGUGUGUGUGUGUCUGUGUGUGUGUCUGUGUGUGUGUCUGUGUGUGUGUGUGUGUGCUAGGGUUUUAGAGUAGUUACGCAGGGGGGUGAGGGUGUAUAAAUAGUGUGGGCCGGUCUGGGGGACACGAGAGGGAAUCCACUACCACAGUACUUUGGUCUUAGAAAUGAUUGGAGGAGAGAAGAGAGUUAGCAGUGAGCCAAUGGCAAUGAUUCAUCUUGUGCAAAUAGUCGUUUGUUUUGGCAAAAUGAACUUAUGUGGAGGAGACGAGGUCUGUUAUUAAACGUAUUUAAAAAACCCUUUCAAAUACUCUGUGAGUUAUCAAGGUGGACCUUGCACAGUGGCACCAGAGGAAUCCAAAAGACGCGGUUACGGUGGGAGAUGUGAGGAGAGAGAGAAUGGGGGACUGUGGGUAAAGCACAGUGAAGCUACAGUGUAUUCGGAAAUGAGUUUUAGGCUUUUUUCUCUUGUUAAGACGUUUUCUGAUUUCGAAGAGUGCAGAUAUGUUGCGCCCCCAUAGGAGUUGAAGACAUUCAUUUGAGGAUCAGAAUUAUUUUUUCUCUUCUCGCAAUUAUCGAGUUUUUCAAAAUCAAAAACGUACAAUUAUCAGUGAGUUAAGCAGGUAAACUAACGUCGGGUAUACCGGAAAAGUCUGAAAGAUUCCAAAAGCACAUUGUACAAACAAAAGAGUCCCCUCUGGUGCAAAUAUAUAGAACUGCUCUGACAGUCUUCUGUACAGCACUUCCACGCCAGAAGAUGGGAAGCGGUACAACAAAAGUUUGGAGUUCUGUUGUUUUUUUUGUCAACAAGACUAUGGAAAGUAGCGUCUGCUGGGCUCAGAGCAGAACACAACGACUCCGUCUUGGCUGGAAAAGGAAAAGAAACAACUAAAAUGUCCGCCGGUGUCCGUCAGACUCUGUUUCGCGUGUAUGUCGUCCUCGGCAUCCGAGGAUUAAAACAGUCAAAACACAGUCACACGACAGAGCCAUGCCAUAUUCAAAUAACAUAAUAGUAAGGAUGAGGAUUGUAAUAAGAAUAGUAAUCAUAAUUAUUAUAAUAGUAAUAACAACAUAUCAUUCUACAGUGUGUUUUUUUUUUUGUUCAUAGUUCGUUCUAGAAAAACAGUGACGAGGAGGAGGGUGUUGAAGCACAGUAAAUCUUUUGUUUUUCCCCCUUCAGUGUUUUGGCACAUGAUGCUUUCUCGCUAUGGAUCACCACCACCUUCCUCGUCCCAGGGGACCCAACCCCUGAAUGUAUCCCCCACGAUGUCUCACCUAAGAAAAUUACAAUCCAUGGUCUUUACAAAUGUCUGGUUUUUGUAAUGUCACAGCACUAGCAUGGAGUUAUAUAGAAGAAGAAUCAGCCCCACUUUGAUUCACCGUUCUCUAGUUAAAAUGGCAGCCGUUCUUCCCUGCCUCAAAGUGGAGCAAUGAGGGUGUGACGUUAUUCUGUCACACGUCAAUCUCCAAGGCGGGACCAGAACCGGAGGUUGUGUUACGGGUACAGGUUGCCUGCAACUCUUAUUGUUUCUGCUUAUGUUGGUGUUGGUGUUUUGUUUUGUUUUUCCGUUUUUUUCUUCUCCCCUUCAAAACCCUAGUGUAACAAUACAAACAGCUACAUAAUUCUGAUCUAUACUUUUCAUUACAUUACAAAAAAAAUUCAUAAGUGGGUCAUAAAGUUAACAGAUUUUUCGUUCAAUAUCGUAAAUAUAUUACUUUGUUCCAUGUUCUCAGAAGCAAAGGCUUGUUGUGUUGGCUGUGUAGCAUGUGUGUGUGUGUGUGUGUGUGUGUAUUUGUGUUUGUGUGUACUGUAUACAACUGGCGCUUGUAGGCACCGUCUACAUGUGUUAAUUACGUACCUACAUGUCUUUUUUCAUUUGUGUAUGUGUGUGUGUGAGCGAGAAAUAAUGUACGCCGAUAUAUAUAUGUAUAUAUAUAUAUAUUUACUAAUUUCCAAUUCUCAACGGCUAUCCAUUCUGGGGUUGGACUCAGGCUUUCUGCUGCGCGGACACACCCUUCCAGUAGUCCAGUAUGUCGUGCAGGUCCUCGUCCUUGGCGAACUGCACCUUCCGCCUCAGUGCGUGUCCCGCCGCCACAUAGCCCUCCUCCUCCAUGGAAGCCUGCCGGUGCCUCUUGCGGUGCAGCUUGAAGCGCUCCCACAGUCCCAGGGUGGGGGUGCACAGGAGCCCCUCGUCCUCCUCGUCCUCCUCGGGGCUGGAGCAGUAGCUGAGGUUGUGGUACUGGGGCGAGAGCGGGUAGUGGGGGGACAGCUGGGCGUAGGCCAGCUGAUCCCGAUGCUUGGCCUGCCUGCUGAGGGUGAGGGGGUCCAGGACGGCGGGGUUCCGCCCCCCCGUGUGGUGGUGCAGCUCCUGCAUGAUCUGCGGGUGGUGCUGCAGUUCCUGGAGGUGCUGCUGGGACCCGGGGUAGGAGUGGCGGUGCUCGUUGUACUGGCGGAUCCGCUGGGCCUCGGCCCGGAGGAUGGCCGCCGCCGGGAUCACUGUGCGGC
ensembl:lncRNA